rnacentral:rRNA from 1 species
AACGUAGGUUCCGAGCGUUAUCCGGAUUUACUGGGCGUAAAGCGCGUUCAGGCGGUUUGGCAAGUCGGGCAUGAAAUCUCUCGGCUCAACCGGGAGAGGUUGUCCGAUACUGCUGGACUUGAGGGCAGUAGAGGGUGGUGGAAUUCCGGGUGUAGUGGUGAAAUGCGUAGAUAUCCGGAGGAACACCAGUGGCGAAAGCGGCCCCCUGGACUGCACCUGACGCUGACACGCGAAAGCUAGGGGAGCGAACGGG